rnacentral:rRNA from 1 species
CCUACGGGGGGCAGCAGUAGGGAAUAUUGCUCAAUGGGGGAAACCCUGAAGCAGCAACGCCGCGUGAAGGAAGAAGGCUUUCGGGUUGUAAACUUCUUUUCUGAGGGACGAAGAAAGUGACGGUACCUCAGGAAUAAGCCACGGCUAACUACGUGCCAGCAGCCGCGGUAAUACGUAGGUGGCAAGCGUUAUCCGGAUUUAUUGGGUGUAAAGGGCGUGUAGGCGGGAAAGCAAGUCAGAUGUGAAAACUCAGGGCUCAACCCUGAGCCUGCAUUUGAAACUGUUUUUCUUGAGUGCUGGAGAGGCAAUCGGAAUGCCGUGUGUAGCGGUGAAAUGCGUAGAUAUACGGAGGAACCCCAGUGGCGAAGGCGGAUUGCUGGACAGUAACUGACGCUGAGGCGCGAAAGCGUGGGGAGCAAACAGGAUUAGAUACCCCUGUAGUC